UGCUGCUGAUCUGCUCUCUCUCUGCAGCUCAGAUUCAAGCCUUUGAGUCUGACAAUGAACUUGGAGUAAAUUUAAGACAAACUGAGGUGACAGGAGGAGAAGCAGGAAAUGUCUCUGAGCAACAACCAACGUGUACGCAGGAUCUCCAUGCAGUGCUGAGGGAGAUGAGCGGCGUGUUGGCUGGACUGAAGGUUGAGAUCAGAUACUUGCAGCGUGAUAAUACAGAACAAGCAAAAAAGACCAGAGAAUUGGAGCAGCAGUACCAAGCACAAUCAGCUAAGGUGAAUCAACUGGAGUCACAAAAUACGGAGCUGAAGCAACAGUACCAAG